CAUUAUCGAAUUAGAUUGAGGAGAAGACAGGCUGCCGGAGAUUGUUGGCUGGCAUGGCUAAGCUUCAUUGCAUGUGCACGUCUUUGCUUUCUGUCGACCUUUCUCUUUCAUUCACACACCCACACCUGUGCACCUUUUGUAGGUUCUCGAAAAGAGGAUCUAUGUUUUUUCACACAUGCUACAUACACAUGUCGUAUAUAUUGCAUGGCCGAGAUGAAUGUGAAAUACAUAUGUGUCGUUGUACAACUUUCAGCAACGGAUCUCUUGGCUCUCGCAUCGAUGAAGAACGCAGCGAAUUGCGAUAAGUAAUGUGAAUUGCAGAUUUCCAGUGAAUCAUCGAAUCUUUGAACGCACCUUGCGCUCCUUGGUAUUCCGAGGAGCAUGCCUGUUUGAGUGUCAUUGAAUUAUCAACUAUGUCUUGAUCCGACAUGGAUUGGAGCUUGGGAGGUUGCUGGCUUGUCAGCUCUCCUGAAAUGCAUCGGCAAAAUGGUCACUUGAUCCUUGACGUGCACGGCCUCGGACGUGAUAAUGAUCGUCGUCGCUGGAGUGUCUUGGAACAUGGAGGGAAUGGCUUGUUGCUUCUAAUCCUAAAUCUAAGCUUCAGCUACUAGCUUCUGUCAGAAGACGGGGGUGAACGGCGCGCAGCAUCUAGAUCUUGGAAACUUGACCUUGACCUCAAAUCAGGUAGGACUACCCGCUGAACUUAAGCAUAUCAAUAAGCGGANGAAAAGAAACUAACAAGGAUUCCCCUAGUAACUGCGAGUGAAGCGGGAAAAGCUCAAAUUUUGAAUCUGGCGGUCAUUGGCCGUCCGAGUUGUAAUCUAGAGAAGCGUCUUCC
rnacentral:rRNA from 1 species